rnacentral:rRNA from 1 species
AGAGUUUGAUCCUGGCUCAGGACGAACGCUGGCGGCGUGCCUAAUACAUGCAAGUCGAGCGGUAAGGCCCCUUCGGGGGUACACGAGCGGCGGACGGCUGAGUAACGCGUAGGAACAUACCCCAAAGUGAGGGAUAACUGCUCGAAAGAGUAGCUAAUACCGCAUGUGCUCUAAGGAGUAAAGCUUUAUGCGCUUUGGGAAUGGCCUGCGUAAGAUUAGCUUGUUGGUGAGGUAAUGGCUCACCAAGGCGACGAUCUUUAGCUGGUCUGAGAGGAUGAUCAGCCAGACUGGGACUGAGACACGGCCCAGACUCCUACGGGAGGCAGCAGUAGGGAAUUUUCCACAAUGGGCGAAAGCCUGAUGGAGCAACGCCGCGUGCAGGAUGAAGGCUCUCGGGUCGUAAACUGCUUUUAUAUGUGAAGAUUACGACGGUAGCAUAUGAAUAAGGAUCGGCUAACUCCGUGCCAGCAGCCGCGGUCAUACGGAGGAUCCAAGCGUUAUCCGGAAUUACUGGGCGUAAAGAGUUGCGUAGGCGGCAUAAUAAGUAGGGCGUGAAAGCGUGUGGCUCAACCAUAUACACAUGUCCUAAACUGUUAAGCUAGAAUAUAGAAGAGGUAGCUGGAAUUCCUUGUGUAGGAGUGAAAUCCGCAGAUAUUGGGAGGAACACCGAUGGCGUAGGCAGAUAACUGGCUCAUUCCUGACACUAAGGCACGAAAGCGUGGGGAGCAAACGGGAUUAGAUACCCUGGUAGUCC